ACGCCCAUCUCAGACACCUAAUAUUUCAGAACAGCGUCAACGGAACACUUUUAUGGAUCAAAAUCUACAUUUAUUUUUAGGAAAAGCAGUGAACAUGAAGCUUCUCUCUGUUUUGUUAUCAUCGUUAUGGUGUUUCCUCGACCAUGGUGUGUCUGGUGUUAUGGAUGAAGUGUCCUUGUUGGUGAAUGAGGGAGAGUCAGUCAUUCUUCACACUGGUGUUAAAACAGACCAACAAGAGAAGAUUAAAUGGUAUUUUAGUAGGACAUUCGCAUUGCUGAAAUCAGUGGAGAUCUCAGUUAUAUCUGUACAGAUGUUCAGUGUAAAAAUAGUGAUGAGAGGUUCAGAAACAGACUGAAGCUGGAUCAUCAGACUGGAUCUCUGACCAUCACAAACACCAGAACCACAGACGCAGGAGUUUAUAAACUAAAGAUCAUGAAAAAACAGAAAAGACAGCAACAAGAUCUUCAUUGUUUUUGUUCAUGGUUUUUUCAGUGUUGAUACACAUGAAGAAUCAGCGUUUGUCAUGGAGGGAGAUUCACAAUCUCUACACACUAAUGUUAAAACAAACCAACAAGAAAAGAUUAGAUGGU